GGAAAAAUCUUAUAAAAUGAAGAAAGAAAAGGCUAUGGGAACUCAGUCGAGUGAGCACCUCCAACACGGCAACAACUGCAGCUCAUUAUUUCUCACCAACUGCCUUCUUCAUUGUAAUACCGGUUCGCAAUCACGGUUUAUAGUACAGUUAACUAUGGCGCCAUGCUGCCGUUUGGUGUCGCAUGGUUAAUGGUUGGGUCGACCACGGGUGUACCGAUGUCUCCUGGACAUGGUGGAUACCAAGCAACAGCAGCAAAAUAAUAGGACACCACGUCGCCGCCUUACUACACAACAACGUCUAGAUACGCAACAUCUACUUACUACGCCGUGGCUCUCGAGUACUACAGUACGGAGUAUACGUAUACUGUCCCAGCCUACUACACCGAAGUCCCCUAGUACUACACGACUACGAAUGCUGCCCCAUCUUACUACACCGAGGCUCCAUCUUAUUUCAAUACCAAAGCGGUCGAGUACUACACCGAACCGCACGAGUACUACUCUGCCCCGAACUACACAACCACAACUGAGGCGGCCAAGUACUACUUAGCCCAGACUUACAACACAGCAGCUGUUCCUUCCCUCUACGUUUAACUGUAAUACUACACCGAGGAUCCAGUCUACUACACCACAACCUACGCUACACCUAGAUACUACGACGAAGCCCCAACUACUACUACACCGAAAAGGCCACAUAACCAAGUACACUGCCCCAGUUUCCUUCACUAAAUGUAACUCUACUCCAAGAUACUACCAAACUAAGGCUCCCGUCUACUGUACCAGUACACCAAGGCCAUCGAGUAUUACACUACAACCAAAUGUUAACUAUGGUGUCCUGCUGCUGUUGGUUGUUGUUUCCUUGAUGGUCAAGUCGACCACUGGUGUACCGAUGUCUCGGGUGAAUGUGGAUAUCAAACCGCAACGCCGCCGUCUUAUAACACAAAAACAUACGCAACAACCGGUUACUUCCCCACCAAUUCCCCGGAGUAUAAUCCAUAACUGAUUAUGCCCCGAACA